AAUAAGCUAAACAAGGGCGUAUGGGGAAUGCCUAGGCUCUCAGAGGCGAAGAAGGACGUGAUAAGCUGCGAAAAGCUGCGGGGAUCGGCACACACGAAUUGAUCCGCAGAUAUCCGAAUGGGGCAACCCGGCAUAUUGAAGAUAUGUCACCUAGCAAUAGGAGCAAACCCGGAGAACUGAAACAUCUAAGUACCCGGAGGAGAAGAAAACAAAAGUGA
rnacentral:rRNA from 1 species